rnacentral:rRNA from 1 species
AGACAUGGGCACUUUGAAUUUCCACCAUUCACUUUCACCAAUAAGAUGCGAAGACUUCCUUCACAUUUGAAAUUGCAAAAAAAGCUUUUUUUUUUACACAAAGAGGUCUACGAAGACUUGUGGAAAAAGAUGACAUUUGUUGCCUUAUUUGGCAAACAAAAAAUAGAGUACGUCAUAAAAAGUAACCGUUCUGUUAAAUAUUAA